UUUUCAUUUCCUCAAUUAUAACUUAAAUCCUUACUCAUGCACAUUUAUUUCCUUAACCCAAUUAGACUUUCUAAAAUUAAGUUAUAAAAUUAAUCAUUUGAGAUAUAUAAAAUAAAUCUCCUAGAAUUAGCAAGUAUUCUAAAUACCACAAUUCUCUUUUCCUAUAACCCUUAAGUUAUUAAAUCAUUCAUUCCUAAUAUAUAAUUAGGUUUACACUAAUUUCUUUUGUUUGUUUAUAUAAUAAACAAAUAUAAACCAUCACAUAAUGUUCAUAUUACUUACACACAACUUUUUAAC
rnacentral:lncRNA from 1 species